ACGCAAAUGGCUGAAUGAGGAACCACCAACUGUUUCGGACUGGAUGGAAAUAAUACACGAAAUGGCUAACCUUCUCUUUGAGACCAUCUUCAGAAAAAUAUGGACAAUAUUGGAAGAAAUGGAAAUGUUUUCACAGAGAAAUGACUGUAGACUCCAGUGUUAUUUCUUUGUAACAUUUGUAUUAAUAAGAUAUCUUUUUGUGUAUAUAUAACUCGACAUGACACAACUUUUUUCUUCUUUUUUUGUCUGGGUUUUUUUGUUUGUUUUGGGUUUUUUUGUUGUUUUGUUUCAAUUUAUUUAUGUUGAUCCUGCUUGUGUUACUUCAUGUUUAAAUGAAAAAAAAACAAACAAACCAAUAACUAUAUAGUUUAAAAAAAAUAACUUCAUACCAAAAUUGUGAUGGUCUGAUCUGGUCAUACUGGAAAACCUUCCAUGUUGCCGAAUUAAAGCAAUCUGCAAAGAAGAUUGGGACUAAAUUCUUCCACGGUGAUGUGAAAGGCUCAUUGCCACUUAUCACAAACACUUGAUUGGAGUUCUUGCUCCUCAGGGUGGCACAAGCAGUUAUUAGGUUCAGGAAGCAAUUACUUUUUCACAGUACUGUAGUCACUACUAACAUAGCAAACCGUGAUCUCUGAUUGAGCUCUUGAUGAUCAAGUUUCACUGUGGGCAGUGAAGCUUGAUGAUUUUGACAAGGAAUGAGAAAACAGAACACGUUUUUUUAAACUCUCCUUUAUGAUAGAGCUCGGUUGGUUGUUGGUUGUGUUAGUGUUGAUUUCAUGGGAAAGAUUUUCAUAUUGAUUAUUGUUCCUGUUCUUAAAAGCACUCUGUACACUGAAUGCUCUUGGUAAUUAUUUUAACAUUUGCUGCCACAUUUUUUAAAGCGGGCUCUACUCUUGAAAGCCUAAGGGUUCAUUGAGUUCUGAACAGAACACAAAGCUGCCAUUCAUUUUGCAGCCCUUUGUAUUUCUUUGUCCUCAACAGAGAAAUCUUGUUCUCUUAUCCCUGGGAGCUUCAUUUAUUUCCCAUUAUUUUGCGAGAUGGCUAUUUGUUCACCAAAUAUAAGUCCGAUGUCCUUGGAGACAAGUGCACAAAAGAUCCCUCUUGGUGGUUCGAAGUUAAUUCAUUACUCUGUAGCCUCCUCCCACCAUAUGCCUUUAAGCUUUUCAUUGCUCACACAAGUAGCAAUGAAAUUACACAGUGGAGGAGAAUAACACCUUCAGUGUCUUGUGAGAAACCCAGUAGGAUACUUUCAAAUGGAUAGAAAAGCUCAGCUAAAUAUAUUACAUUGUCUCUUUUUUUUUUCUUUUUUUUACCACAGAGGUCAGGUAGGGAUGACAACAGUACAAGAGGAAGCACACUACUAAUCCAUACACUAAUAUGUAAUAUCACUGCUAUUAUCUAAUGCUGAUAUCAGGAAAUCUGAGACCGAGGACUUUAUUUUGGUGUGGAUGCAGCUGGUGCAUUGAUCACACUGGCACGCAGUGGACAGUGGUUGUGGCUUUUUCUUUUCUUAUUGCCAGCCCACAUUUCCAAUCAUCAGCAACAUUCAUAUAAUAAAGCAUAUAUAUAAUGAAGCAUCAUUGCUUCAUUUUCUUUCUUUUUCUUCUUUUUACUGCUGCCUUUUGAAGUUGCCACAGUGGAUCAUCUGCUUCCAUCUCACCCUAUCCUUAGCAUCCUCUUCUGUCACACCACCCCUGUGCAUAUCCUCCUUUACUACAUCUGUAAAUCUUCUGUGUAGCCUUCCUCUUCUUCUCCUGCCUGGCAACUCCAUCUUCAACAUCCUUUGUCCAGUAAAAACACUAUCCCUCCUCUGCACAUGUCACGUGUUCAGUCUAACUUUGUCUCCAAACCACUCAACCUCAGCUGUCCUUCUGAUAUACUCAUUCCCGCUCCUAAUGAAAAUCUUAACAUCUUAAAUUCUCCCACCGCCAGCUCAUCCUCCUGUCUUUUUAUUAUUGCCAACAUCUUCAAACCAUACAUCAAAGCAGGUCUCACUACCAUCUUGUAAGUCUUACUUAUGUUGCCACUAAUCACCUUUGUCUUCACCCACUCCACUCUGUCUGCACUCUCUUCUUUACUGCUCUUAUCCACUC
ensembl:lncRNA